GAUUGCCCCUUCAAGUUUGUUUUGUUCAAAUUCUAUGUCUUGCAACUUGUUUAGUUUGCCAAGAGAAACUGGAAGUGUACCGCGGAGGAGAUUUCCACCCAUUGCAAUCUGUGUUAGGCCAACAAGGUUCCCAAUUCCUUGAGGUUGUUGAAGCCAAGGCUGAGGUUGCGAAGAUUCGAGCAACGUGAUAGGGAUGGAGGGAUCUCGCCAUCCAGAUUGUUGUAGCUCAGAUCAAGACUCGUCACGAAUGUAAGAUUUGCUAUUGCAGGGGAGAUGAUACCGGAGAGGUUGAGCCCAGGAAGACCAAGUGCUGUGACGCGCCCGCGCCACCCUUGAGCACCGCAUGUCACACCAUGCCACUGGCAGUAACUGACGUUCGAUGCUCUCCCCCAUGAACUCAGUGCUCCCGAGGGAUCAUCUGUUAUGAGCGCCUUGAAGGACAGGAGUGCGAGGUGGUCGAUGCUAGCAUUGCUUGCUGCCUGGGAACCAGAAGGUAAGCAGCAAAGUGGAAGGGUGAGGAUGGCGAACAGCAGAAAGGGAACUAGAAGCUCCAUGGCCAGGCUAUGCUGCUCGUGACGCUAGGUUUUUUGUUUAUACCUGACGAGAGCUGGAAACAGGAGAGAAGGCCGGAAAGAGUGUCAAAGCAGCACACUGCAAACGGCCGGCCUCUUGGGUACUAACAAAAUAUUCGAUCAGCCAAUCAGUCAGUGUAUCUUUAGAGUCAAGCCGACCAAUUAUGAGGGGACUGCCGGUAUUUUAGCGUAAACUCAAUAUUCUGUGUUUUUCCGGGGUUCUCCCUAUCUUUUUCAUCUCAUUUUUUUUCCAUUGUACUACAUUUUUAUCUGUGGCCUAGCUUUCGAAUAAUCUGUCGAAUGAAAUCAGUACUUUGUAAGUAGCUUGGAACAUUGCAAUCAUAUGUACCGUGAUGGUCUUUGAAACUAUCAAGAUGGCUGGUAUAUAUGCAUCUUAUAAGGUC